rnacentral:rRNA from 1 species
UACGUAGGUGGCAAGCGUUAUCCGGAUUUAUUGGGCGUAAAGGGAACGCAGGCGGUCUUUUAAGUCUGAUGUGAAAGCCUUCGGCUUAACCGGAGUAGUGCAUUGGAAGCUGGGAGACUUGAGUGCAGAAGAGGAGAGUGGAACUCCAUGUGUAGCGGUGAAAUGCGUAGAUAUAUGGAAGAACACCAGUGGCGAAAGCGGCUCACUGGUCUGUAACUGACGCUGAGGUUCGAAAGCGUGGGUAGCAAACAGG